CCUACGGGAGGCAGCAGUGAGGAAUAUUGGUCAAUGGGCGCGAGCCUGAACCAGCCAAGUCGCGUGAGGGAAGACGGUCCUAUGGAUUGUAAACCUCUUUUGUCGGGGAGCAAAAGACGCCACGCGUGGCGUUCCGAGAGUACCCGAAGAAAAAGCAUCGGCUAACUCCGUGCCAGCAGCCGCGGUAAUACGGAGGAUGCGAGCGUUAUCCGGAUUUAUUGGGUUUAAAGGGUGCGCAGGCGGAAGAUCAAGGCAGCGGUAAAAUUGAGAGGCUCAACCUCUUCGAGCCGUUGAAACUGGUUUGCUUGAGUGAGUGAGAAGUAUGCGGAAUGCGUGGUGUAGCGGUGAAAUGCAUAGAUAUCACGCAGAACUCCGAUUGCGAAGGCAGCAUACCGGCGCUCAACUGACGCUCAUGCACGAAAGUGUGGGUAUCGAACAGGAUUAGAUACCCCUGUAGUC
rnacentral:rRNA from 1 species